CACAGAUGGCAGCCACAAAAGACCUGCCGAGAAUCCAAUCUAAUUCAGCAGCAAAGGCUCAAGACACUUUCCAUGGGAGCAGGAGGGUGAGCUGCAAGCAUGCCAGAUUCUGAAGUCACAAGAACUCAAAAUGUAUCAGCCAUUCUGGAGUCAAGAGAACCCUAGCUGUCUUAGAGUGUGGCAAACUACUGAAAUUGCCCACCUAUGGGCCAAGCCAUGUCUACUGUCUGACCCUGCUCCGGUCAUCACGGAGGUGCCACAGAACAAGGCCUCCGCAGCUCUCUGUAUGGGCAGCUGGGAUGGGCCCUCCAGAACCCUGCUGGGAGCCCUGGCCAGUCCGCAGGUGUCAGCCCUUGCGAGUGGACUUGCUCUGCCUCUCCGGCUCUGCACAAGGCCACGCCCAGCUUUCCCCGACGCUGUUCCCAUCCACGGUGCUAACCCACGUUCCAUCCCAAGUCCUGUGUAGACCUUCCCACCUCAACCCUUCACUCCUGCCUCCAGAAGAGGCAGAUCUCAGAAGAUCGCCCGUCACCAGGAAUGAAUUCUGAGUUCACGUUCUGGAAUGCUGCCAAGAAGGAAGCGGCGUUGGUAUAAAGAAUCACACAAAAGGCCGCAGAGCCUUCCUUGGAAUCACAGACACCAAGGUGGUCUCCUUUCCUGAGCCCCCAUAUUAAACAGGUCUUCUGCACGUUUUCUAUUGAAUAACUUGGUUUGUCUUCUUCAUAGCACUUACCACUAUUAUCUUGUUUGUUUAUUUUUUGCCUCUAUU